GAUGAACGCUGGCGGCGUGCCUAACACAUGCAAGUCGAACGGGGUUAUUUUGGAAAGUUCCUUCGGGGACUGGAAUCUUUAACCUAGUGGCGGACGGGUGAGUAACGCGUGAGCAAUCUGCCUUUAGGAGGGGGAUAACAGUCGGAAACGGCUGCUAAUACCGCAUAAUGUAUGUCCUUCGCAUGUUGGAUAUACCAAAGGAGCAAUCCGCCUUUAGAUGAGCUCGCGUCUGAUUAGCUAGUUGGCGGGGUAACGGCCCACCAAGGCGACGAUCAGUAGCCGGACUGAGAGGUUGAACGGCCACAUUGGGACUGAGACACGGCCCAGACUCCUACGGGAGGCAGCAGUGGGGAAUAUUGCGCAAUGGGGGCAACCCUGACGCAGCAACGCCGCGUGAUUGAAGAAGGCCUUCGGGUUGUAAAGAUCUUUAAUCAGGGACGAAACAUGACGGUACCUGAAGAAUAAGCUCCGGCUAACUACGUGCCAGCAGCCGCGGUAAUACGUAGGGAGCAAGCGUUAUCCGGAUUUACUGGGUGUAAAGGGCGCGCAGGCGGGCCGGCAAGUUGGGAGUGAAAUCCCGGGGCUUAACCCCGGAACUGCUUUCAAAACUGCUGGUCUUGAGUGAUGGAGAGGCAGG
rnacentral:rRNA from 1 species